ACGGGUGAGUAAUACAUCGGAACGUAUCCUGGAGUGGGGGAUAGCCCGGCGAAAGCCGGAUUAAUACCGCAUACGCUCUGAGGAGGAAAGCGGGGGACCUUCGGGCCUCGCGCUCAAGGGGCGGCCGAUGGCGGAUUAGGUAGUUGGUGGGGUAAAGGCCUACCAAGCCGACGAUCCGUAGCUGGUCUGAGAGGACGACCAGCCACACUGGGACUGAGACACGGCCCAGACUCCUACGGGAGGCAGCAGUGGGGAAUUUUGGACAAUGGGGGCAACCCUGAUCCAGCAAUGCCGCGUGUGUGAAGAAGGCCUUCGGGUUAUAAAGCACUUUUGUCCGGAAAGAAAUCAUCGGGGCCAAUACCCCUGGUGGAUGACGGUACCGGAAGAAUAAGCACCGGCUAACUACGUGCCAGCAGCCGCGGUAAUACGUAGGGUGCGAGCGUUAAUCGGAAUUACUGGGCGUAAAGCGUGCGCAGGCGGUGCUGUAAGACCGAUGUGAAAUCCCCGGGCUUAACCUGGGAACUGCAUUGGUGACUGCAGCGCUGGAGUAUGGCAGAGGGGGGUGGAAUUCCACGU
rnacentral:rRNA from 1 species